GGGGGGAGCCGGGGAGCGAGAGGCCCCGCGAGGGGAGCGGCGCUCGCCCAAAGGCGCGCCAGCUUCGGGGCUGGGCAGCAGGGCGAGGAGGAGGUGGUCAGAGGCUGUGAAUCCUGUGGACUCCACGACCCCCCCUUCUGCUCUUGGGUUAGCCAAAAAGUUUGUUCGGGUUUUUCCGGAACAUCUUACUACGCCGCCGGCCGGCUGCCAUCAUUGCAUUUAAUCACGAUAAUCGCCAACUUGUGGCGAGCGCUUAGUCUGGGUCCCGCUUUGGCUGCGCCUCUCAUCUCAUUUACUUCUCAGAACAAUCCGUUUUUUAACCCAUUUUACAGAUAAAGAAACUGAGUCCCGACGAGGUAGCGACUCGACCAGCCCUCCGGCGGGGGCAGAGGUUGGAUUCCUGUCGCCGCGCCGAACCCCCUCCCCUUCGGUUUGCGCCCCAGGACGGAUAAAGUCAUGGGGACUGUGAGUCGAGAAACACUAGGACUCAGCCGGGGUCGGUCUGGCAAUUAUGGACAAGUGUCUUGUUCAUCCAGCACCUCAGCUUCCUUCUCUGCCAAAUAGGGUUGGUAAGGGUCCAACCCAGGCAAGUGGGUAGGGGGAAUGCCGAGCAGAAAGGCCGGAUGCCCUCCUCCCAGGCUCCGAGACACACCGUGGUGCACAUUCCGACAGAGCGGGGUGGAUGCGGAUUCGCAGGGGCCCCAUCUUCUCCAGGGACAAGCCGGGAGAAGGAGGUUGGGCGGCGUUCUAGCCCAGGUACCUCUCCACCGUUGCUCGGUGUGAAUUGGUUGACAUUUACAAUUGAGAAGAUUUAACAUGAGACCCUGGUUUCCAGCUGCUCUUGGAUUAUAAGAGCUGGCAUUACCACAGAGAGACAAUUGGCCGGCGGGGACUCAGGCUGCCCCACAGGCCCUUCUCCCUUACCUGGGACCCCCUUCCCACAGCUCUGUGACUCGGCUGGUCUCGAAGGCAAUGUGUGACUAUGGUUUGCCGUCCUAUUUAGACCUCUCUCCUUAUGCUAAGGAGCAGAGACCCAGGGAGGGCUAUGACCUCACAAGGUCACACAGCAAGGCAGUGGCAGUGCCCAUGUCCCCGGAGGCUUGGCCAGUCUGUCCCAUCCCCACCCCACCCCGUCAGCGUUCAGUAAGCGCGCAACACUGGCUAGCAGUUGUCAGAGCCUUGGGACAGAGACUCACUCAAAAACUGAGACAGGCAGAGUCCCAGAUCCCAGAGAGCCAGGGAGGAGCUGGCCGGCUCCUUCGCCUUCAGAGCCCGCUCAAAUGUCACCUCCUCCAAGAGGCCUCUCCUGACCACCUGGCCUAAUGUAGUAGUCCCUCCCUCACCACACCCCCAAUUAUGUUUCAUCACCCCCUUUAUUUCCUUCACAACAUCGUUCAUAUUUUCCUUUGAAACCGAUCAACUGAUUGGUUGAUUUGUUUCCUGUUUGCUCACUGCCUCCGAAUUUCAUCUGCAAGAGGGCAAGGUCUCUAUCAUUGGCUGCUGUAUCCCUAGGGCCUAAGACACUGGCUGAUACAUAACAA